UGGGUAGCUGUAAGUAAGCGUUGAUCCAGAGAUUUCCGAAUGGGGGAACCCAACAUGAGUUAUGUCAUGUUAUCGACAUGUGAAUUCAUAGCAUGUCAGAAGGCAGACCCGGAGAACUGAAACAUCUUAGUACCCGGAGGAAGAGAAAGAAAAAUCGAUUCCCUGAGUAGCGGCGAGCGAAACGGGAAGAGCCCAAACCAACAAGCUUGCUUGUUGGGGUUGUAGGACACUCUAUACGGAGUUACAAAAGAACAUGUUAGACGAAUCAUCUGGAAAGAUGAAUCAAAGAAGGUAAUAAUCCUGUAGUCGAAAACAUAUUCUCUCUUGAGUGGAUCCUGAGUACGACGGAGCACGUGAAAUUCCGUCGGAAUCUAGGAGGACCAUCUCCUAAGGCUAAAUACUCUCUAGUGACCGAUAGUGAACCAGUACCGUGAGGGAAAGGUGAAAAGUACCCCGGAAGGGGAGUGAAAGAGAACUUGAAACCGUGUGCUUACAAGUAGUCAGAGCCCGUUUAUGGGUGAUGGCGUGCCUUUUGUAGAAUGAACCGGCGAGUUACGAUCUGAUGCAAGGUUAAGCAGCGAAUGUGGAGCCGUAGCGAAAGCGAGUCUGAAUAGGGCGUUGAGUAUUUGGUCGUAGACCCGAAACCAGGUGAUCUACCCUUGGUCAGGUUGAAGUUCAGGUAACACUGAAUGGAGGACCGAACCGACUUACGUUGAAAAGUGAGCGGAUGAACUGAGGGUAGCGGAGAAAUUCCAAUCGAACUUGGAGAUAGCUGGUUCUCUCCGAAAUAGCUUUAGGGCUAGCCUCAAGUGAUGAUUAUUGGAGGUAGAGCACUGUUUGGACGAGGGGCCCCUCUCGGGUUACCGAAUUCAGACAAACUCCGAAUGCCAAUCAAUUUAACUUGGGAGUCAGAACAUGGGUGAUAAGGUCCGUGUUCGAAAGGGAAACAGCCCAGACCACCAGCUAAGGUCCCAAAAUAUAUGUUAAGUGGAAAAGGAUGUGGCGUUGCCCAGACAACUAGGAUGUUGGCUUAGAAGCAGCCAUCAUUUAAAGAGUGCGUAAUAGCUCACUAGUCGAGUGACACUGCGCCGAAAAUGUACCGGGGCUAAACAUAUUACCGAAGCUGUGGAUUGUCCUUCGGACAAUGGUAGGAGAGCGUUCUAAGGGCGUUGAAGCAUGAUCGCAAGGACAUGUGGAGCGCUUAGAAGUGAGAAUGCCGGUGUGAGUAGCGAAAGACGGGUGAGAAUCCCGUCCACCGAUUGACUAAGGUUUCCAGAGGAAGGCUCGUCCGCUCUGGGUUAGUCGGGUCCUAAGCUGAGGCCGACAGGCGUAGGCGAUGGAUAACAGGUUGAUAUUCCUGUACCACCUAGUAUCGUUUUAAU
rnacentral:rRNA from 1 species